UUAGACGGCCAUAAUAUCUUGGUUACACCUGUUCCCAUUCCGAACACAGAAGUUAAGCUUGAUGUGUUCAUGUCUGUACUGCCUCUUGGUGGGAAAACAUGAAGCUGUCUACC
rnacentral:rRNA from 1 species